rnacentral:lncRNA from 1 species
GCUUCCUCGUUGCCCCCGCCGCGGGCGCGAGAUGGAUUCCGGGUGCUGGUUGUUCGGCGGCGAGUUCGAGGACUCGGUGUUCGAGGAGAGGCCGGAGCGGCGGUCAGGACCGCCCGCGUCCUACUGCGCCAAGCUCUGCGAGCCGCAGGUGGAGUUUGUUGCCCAUGCUGGAGUGCAGUGGCGCGAUCUCGGGUCACCCCAACCUCCACCUCCCGGGUUAAAGCGAUUCUCCUGCCUCAGCCUCCCAGCUAGCUGGGAUUACAGACGUGUGCCACCAUGCCGGCCUAAUUUUGUAUUUUUAGUAGAGACAGGGUUUCUCUACUGUUGUUAGCCAGGCUGGUCUCAAACUCCUAACCUCAAGUGAUCUGCCCGCCUCGGCCUCCCAAAUUGCUGGGAUUACAGGUGUAAGCCACUGCCUUUCCCUACGUUAUUUAUUCAAUAGUCAAGCAAUCUCAGUCUCACUUUCCUUUUUAUCCAUAGGAUUUAAAUCA